AUGGGAACAGCAGCAGUGUUAUGUCGCGACAGGGAAGGGAAUUAUCUGGGCUCUUCCAUGCUAGUAUUUGAAGGCCUAACGGAUCCAACGACGCUGGAAGCAAUCGCAUGCAGGGAGGGCAUGGCGCUGGCUCAGGACCUGGGAGUGAACCAUCUACAUAUACCUUCGGACUGCAAGCAGGUUAUUAAUCACAUUCAUCAAAGAGUUGGAGGAGACCAUGGUAGUAUUGUCAGAGAAAUUUCACAAACUUCUACUUUAUUUACCGCUUGUAAUUUUCUUUUUGAACCUCGGGAGUAUAAUUAUGAGGCUCAUAGACUAGCUAGAUUUGGCUUUUCGCUCCCUGCUGGGAGGCAUUUGUGGUUGGGCAUCCAACAUGACCUGAUUGUAAUUCCUAUGAACAUCUUAGUCGAUCAAUAA
rnacentral:rRNA from 1 species